CAGUCGCCGCGGUAAUACGGAGGGUGCAAGCGUUAAUCGGAAUUACUGGGCGUAAAGCGCACGCAGGCGGUUCGUUAAGUCAGAUGUGAAAUCCCCGAGCUUAACUUGGGAACUGCAUUUGAAACUGGCAAGCUAGAGUCUUGUAGAGGGGGGUAGAAUUCCAGGUGUAGCGGCGAAAUGCGUAGAGAUCUGGAGGAAUGCCGGUGGCGAAGGCGGCCCCCUGGACAAAGACUGACGCUCAGGUACGAAAGCGUGGGGAGCAAACAGGAUUAGAUACCCCUGUAGUCCCUGUCUCUUAUAC
rnacentral:rRNA from 1 species